AGGGGCGGGAGCGCCCUGGCCCUUUCCCCCUGCGCGGGGCAGUGCGGCAGCGCGCGUGACGGCUGUACCCCCUCAGGGGCUCCUGCGGCCUUAGCCGGCCCCCCCGUCACAUCCCGCUGAACGGCAAGUAACGUAAUGCUCCUGAUCCCUUCGUUCUGGGCUCAUUCGCCGCUAGUGUUCAGAGCAGCCGUCCUCAAUGGUUGGUCGCUCUGCGUAGUGUUCAGAAGAGAUUAAGAAAAGGCAUUUGUUCCCUGGUGUGGAACCCCUUCAGAUUUUGUGCAAACCAACAAGCCUCUGACUUCCCUUCUGGCGACGUUCCAGGCAGCAGAGGCGCCUGCAUAAGCUAAGUGAUGACAGGGGCUUCACUGUUCACCACUACAAUAGAAAUGUAUCCUUUUCUUCCCUAACAGAGGAAGGCAUUGUCUGAGUGAGAAUGGGACCUCAUCAGAUGAUGUAACCUGUGAACAUAUAGUUGGAAUGAAAAAAUGCCAUCUCUUUAAAAAGGCUACAAAAAGCAAGCUUCAGGAAGUCAUAAUUUCUUUUUAUCCCUGAAGAGGCCUGCCUUCAUAUAGCUACAUACAGAUAUAUAGCCAACAUAUAACUGCAUCCUGUCCUUUGCCAGUCUGAGCAUGAGUGCAAAAGUUCUCGUUUCUACUGACUCCACAAAAAUGCAUUUUUAAAUAGACUGAGGAACUGAACACUUUGCAGCUUUGGGCUGUGAAUACCAACAUAUAUUACAUAACACUAUCCUCUUAACUGUUUGAUCCUCCUUGUAAUCAUCAGCUAUAGGUUUGCCACCAGGUUUUGUGGAAGGAUAUUUAGAAAGGUUCAUAAAGCUUUACUGGUAACUUAAUUAGAUGAAAAACUGUUUGGUCUUUCUGUAAGUUAAGGGUUUGUAUCUGCUUUUAAAAGGAUGGGUUUACAUGAGAAACAUAGUCACUAGUGUUGGCUUUCUGUAAAGCAUAUUUGAAAAAAGAGUAAGAUAAUGUCUAGGUACUCUUCAAUAGGUAAAGAGGGCUGAUCUGCUUAUUCAACAUUAAUCAGAAGUGCAGUAAAGAAAUUUUUCCAAAUGCUGGACAACAUUUCACUGUUUUGUUUUACUUUUGGUUUGAUUUGCUCUGUGCUUUUGUUUUGGUUGGUCAUUUUUUGAGGGAACUUUAUCUAGUGCUUUGAGUUUCUAAAUUGAAAGAUAUUUCUUUCAUUAAAGUUGAAAAUAUUUUCACGUUUUGCUUGAUUUCAUGUGCUGUUAAUAUUGCUAAUAAAAUACU